CCUACGGGAGGCAGCAGUGGGGAAUUUUGGACAAUGGGCGCAAGCCUGAUCCAGCAAUGCCGCGUGAGUGAAGAAGGCCUUCGGGUUGUAAAGCUCUUUUGUCAGGGAAGAAACGGUGGAGGUUAAUACCUUCUGCUAAUGACGGUACCUGAAGAAUAAGCACCGGCUAACUACGUGCCAGCAGCCGCGGUAAUACGUAGGGUGCAAGCGUUAAUCGGAAUUACUGGGCGUAAAGCGUGCGCAGGCGGUUGUGCAAGACAGAUGUGAAAUCCCCGGGCUCAACCUGGGAAUUGCAUUUGUGACUGCACGGCUAGAGUGUGUCAGAGGGGGGUAGAAUUCCACGUGUAGCAGUGAAAUGCGUAGAGAUGUGGAGGAAUACCGAUGGCGAAGGCAGCCCCCUGGGAUAACACUGACGCUCAUGCACGAAAGCGUGGGGAGCAAACAGGAUUAGAUACCCUGGUAGUCCACGCCCUAAACGAUGUCUACUAGUUGUCGGGUCUUUAUUGACUUGGUAACGCAGCUAACGCGUGAAGUAGACCGCCUGGGGAGUACGGUCGCAAGAUUAAAACGUCAAAGGAAUUGACGGNNGAGAGNGCGAGACGACGACGAGGGAGGAG
rnacentral:rRNA from 1 species